GUUUAGCCAUUGUUAGCAGCUACUAGCUAGCUUUACUUAAAUAACAUCAACCAAAUCCAGUCUCCAACGCGAAUUAAAUACUACCUGGGUCUAUGUCAUUGCAGAUGACAUGAUAAUUGCAGCAGCCACCAAAGAAGAGCAUGAUCACAUUCUACAGCAGGUGAUGGGCAGAGCUAUCYGUCUGAAUAUGAAGUUCAAUGCUGACAAGAUGCAAUACAUGGCAGGCAUUCUAUCUAAUACUGACUGGAACUAUACACUAUACAUGGGCCGAAUGGCCUCUCCUGUUUGGAUCUUCAGGUGCAUCUUCAGCUGGUGCUGGUGGGAGAACYUCUUCUCACUGGGGGCAGCUGCAGGAUUUCUCCCCUGUGUUAGAAAUCCUAUGGUGCCUCUUUAGGUUGAACGAGUGGGAGAAACUGUCCGGGAACAAGGUGGCAGCCGAACACUUGCCUAUUAAUGUUCUGUGGGGACCCCAGGAAGAGUAACUGCUGAUUUUGCAACAGCUAAUGGGGAUCCAGAAGAAGUUGUUCAAAGAGAAAGCCUAAUGUUGCAGAAACUUGGUUCRGGAUCUCUGGAGGUAUUUCAACAUUCCCUGGCCUUUCAAUCAAAUGUAAAAUGUUCUGUUAUAUAACAAUCCUAAAUUGUAGCCUAUACAUUAUGGCAAUGUACAUGUUUUCAUUUAGAAAUCUACAUCUUGCAUGUUUUUGUUUACAUUUACAAAGCUCAUAUCUCCCUCCGAUUGUAUGGUUAUCUUUUGUGUUAAUGAUUUAAAGUAAAUAUUUCUCAUGACAUUUCACAAAUGUCCCAUUUUGAAUCAAUGAUCAACACUGGAUGAAUUGGAUAAAUAGCUAGGUUUGCCUAAAACAUUGGAAACAUAAUAUAUAUAUAUAUAUAUAAUGACCAGUCUUUAAUCAAAAUUUGGUUGUUCUUGUAUUUCCACAAGUGCAUUUCUUUGAAAAACAACAAUGAUUGGGUUUAGAUCUGUUAAAUCGGUGUGUCCAUUAUUUUGUGAAAGUGACUACUGUAAGAAAGUUCAAUGGUAGAAAUGAAGGCUAUGCUUCUUGCUGGACAUAUGGUUGAAGUGGUCAGUUGGYUUUGAGAUCUGAUUUGGCCUAUUAAAUUACUGAACACA